CAGAAAUAAUCAUGCACUCAAAUUUUGUGGAUACACGGGAUCCUCAUAGACUUCCAAGGGUAGGUGCAGUUCCUCAUUUUCUUCCUCAUCUAUGGGGCAUGGAAAGAGUUAGUUUGGUAUGCUCAGUAAGAAAAAUAAUAUUAAAUUAACAUCGCAAGGUUUUAAAGGUGAAUUAUUUUAACUUAAAAGCUUACCAUUUGGCCACCUCGUAGACCUAUCUUACAU
rnacentral:lncRNA from 1 species